ACAGAGGGGGCAAGCGUUGUUCGGAAUUACUGGGCGUAAAGGGCGCGUAGGCGGCCUGCUAAGUCGAACGUGAAAUCCCUGGGCUCAACCCAGGAACUGCGUCCGAUACUGGUUGGCUUGAAUCCGGGAGAGGGACGUGGAAUUCCAGGUGUAGCGGUGAAAUGCGUAGAUAUCGAGAGGAACACCUGCGGCGAAGGCGGGUUGCUGGGCUGACACUGACGCUGAUGCGCGAAAGCCAGGGGAGCGAACGGGA
rnacentral:rRNA from 1 species